UACGUAGGUGGCAAGCGUUGUCCGGAGUUAUUGGGCGUAAAGCGCGCGCAGGCGGUGCGGUAAGUCUCUGGUGAAAGCGCUCGGCUUAACUGGGCGAGGGCCGGGGAGACUGCCACGCUGGAGGGGAGCAGAGGCGAGUGGAAUUCCGGGUGUAGUGGUGAAAUGCGUAGAGAUCCGGAGGAACACCAGUGGCGAAGGCGGCUCACUGGACCACAACUGACGCUGAUGCACGAAAGCUAGGGGAGCAAACAGG
rnacentral:rRNA from 1 species